rnacentral:rRNA from 1 species
UGAUGGCGACCGGCGAACGGGUGCGUAACGCGUAUGCAACUUACCUUUUACUAGAGAAUAGGCAAGAGAAAUUUUGAUUAAUGCUCUAUACUCUUAUUAACUCACAUGAGUUUUUAAGAAAAGCUCCGGCGGUAAAAGAUGGGCAUGCGUCCUAUUAGCUUGUAGGUGAGGUAACGGCUCACCUAAGCUCCGAUAGGUAGGGGUCCUGAGAGGGAGAUCCCCCACACUGGUACUGAGACACGGACCAGACUUCUACGGAAGGCAGCAGUAAGGAAUAUUGGACAAUGGAGGCAACUCUGAUCCAGCGAUGCCGCGUGAAGGAAGACGGCCCUAUGGGUUGUAAACUUCUUUUAUACAGGAAGAAACCUUUCCACGUGUGAAAGAUGACGGU